GGGUGGGGCGUGGAGCGGCCAAAUGUCAGAAGGCUUAGAUGCAAGGCCAGGGAGCCCGGUACAGCCCACUGCUUGCUGUUUCCUGGGGGACAGGAACAUUUUUUAAAGACUCACAGGAGCUGCUUGUGGCCCAGAUACAGAGCCAGACCUUGAGCAGCACCUGCACCACAGACACCUGCACCAUGGCACCUGCACCACAGGGACAUAUACCACAGGAGCAGACACCACGGGAGCCCCCAUCAUGGAAGCAGACACCACAGGAACCCACACCACAGGAGCAGACACCACGGGAGCAGACACCACAGGAGCCCACACCACGGGAGCACACACCACAGGAGCCCACACCACGGGAGCCCACACCACGGGAGCAGACACCACGGGAGCCCACAUCACGGGAGCCCACACCACGGGAGCAGACACCACUGGAGCCCACACCACGCGAGCAGACACCACGGGAGCCCACACCACGGGAGCAGACACCACGGGAGCCCACACCAUGGGAGCCCACAUCAUGGGAGCAGACACCAUGGGAGCCCACACCACAGGAGCAGACACCACAGGUGCCCACACCAUGGGGACACCACAGGAGCCCAUACCACAGGAGCAGACACCACAUAAACAGACACCACAGGAACAGAUACGAUGGGAGCAGACACCACGGGAGCAGACACCACGGGAGCCCACACCACGGGAGCCCACACCACGGGAGCCCACACCACGGGAGCAGACACCACUGGAGUCCACACCACGGGAGCCCACACCAUGGGAGCAGACACCACGGGAGCAGACACCACGGGAGCCCACACCACGGGAGCAGACACCACGGGAGCCCACACCACGGGAGCAGACACCACAGGUGCCCACACCAUGGGGACACCACAGGAGCCCAUACCACAGGAGCAGACACCACAUAAGCAGACACCACAGGAACAUACGAUGGGAGCAGACACCACGGGAGCAGACACUACAGGAGCAGACGCAACGGGAGCAGACCCCAUGAGCACCCACACCAGUGGUGUCCAAUGUGGCUCCCCACUCCCAAUCUUGGGAGCUGAUGCUCACUGAGCCACUGAUCUCUCUCUAUGAUACAUCAGAGUAGACCAGACGGGCUCUUAUAUCCUCCCUGUUUUACAGCCAAGGAAGUGAAGAAUUGGAGAGGGGAAGGCACACAGCUAACAAGUAGCAAAACCAAAGCUGGAAUCUCCAGGGCCCACAGAACCUUCUGUCUUGCUUCCUUUGGUGACAUAUUGCAGGAGUAGGGGAGGAAAGCUCCACUCUGAGGGCACCUGCUGUGAACACUCACAUGCAAGUCUUUCUGAGAACACGUGUCCUAGCGGUGGAUGGUUGGGUCAUAUAGGAGAUGGAUAUUUAACUUUUAAAAAAUUACCAUUUUUUCCCCAGAGUGAUGAUACCCUUGUCUAGUCUUGUGACCAGUAU
rnacentral:lncRNA from 1 species